AUGUAAUACAAACAUUCAAACAUCGUCACCAUCUUUGCAACUCUUGCCGCUUUCCACAUCGAAUUCUGUCAGUCCUCCAAAGUCGUAUUGGUGUAUAAAUCGACCUACCUUAUUUGGCUGAAAAUACUGAUGUGAAAUAUUCGAUUUGUAUCCUGGAAAAUACGAUGUAUUCUUAUAAAGUACUAGCAGUAUCGCCCGGCGUUGCUCGGGUUUGUAAGGGAAAUAACUAUAUAAGCAUUUUUAGAGAGUUACUUCCCUUAUAGAUGCCAAUUCGGGCUUUCUUAGCCAUUUCUGAUUUGGUGUCUUCAAGCCAUGAAGUCGUUGUUCUAAAAGAACGCUGGUCUCCUUGACAACGCAUUACGACGUUGAUUUCCUUAAACUCCCUUCCCCACAGCUUCACGAGGGAGGGAAGAAGGGGGAGAAGCAAACACAGGUGCAGGUGUUUGAGCGUGGACGCCAACUCCGCCGCCAUCGACACACGAAAAAUUAUGCAUUAAAAUGGAAUAAAAAAUGAUGUUAAAUUAUUUUUAAAAUCGUAGACUCAUCGUAGACGCGCGCUAAUAGCCAGACGGGCUCGAUAUUAAUCACGACUAUAAGAUACCCGAAUUUGGUUAAACUGCACCGCAAAAUGUGGAAGGAGUUAGGAAUCUAAAUCGUAGGAGACAGACACUCACACAACUACAGUUUUAUAUAUAUAGAUUUUCCAUCAAUAGUCAUGUGUCUAUACAAGUGUAUUAAAAACUGCUAUACACAUACGCGGGCACAUACACACUCAUCCAUACCCACAGGUGCUUAUUUAGAAAGUUAAACGUUUCUCUUUGCAUAGACUCAGUUUGACUCUACAAUCGUAGCCAAAAGUUUGGAACUUUUUUUUCUAUUGGGUUGUCCAGAAAGAUCGUGCCGAUUUAUAGUAGUUUACCUUUCGACUUAUUUUAGAACCUGGUUGAGACCAUAAAAUAGGAUUUGACUACACCGCCAUUUAGAGCAUGGUUCGCAAGGUUCCGAGCUGGAAAUUAUAGCCUUAUUGAUAAAGAGCGAUCAGGCAGACCAUCCACUACAGAUGAUGACCAAAUCAAGUCAGUAAUUGAGAAUAACCCACAUUGCACAACCCGAGAAUUGGCAGAAAGCCUCAGCCUAUCAAAAUCCGUCGUUUGUGAGCACCUGGUAAAGCUUGGAUACACAAAUCGCUACGAUGUUUGGGUACCACAUGAGUUGAGUGAGAAGAACCUUUUGGAUCGCAUUUCCAUUUGUGAUUCGCUUUAUAAACAGAAUGAAAACGCACCUUUUUUAAAGCAAAUUGUGACAGGUGAUGAGAAAUGGAUUAUCUACCGAAAUGUUCAGAGAAAGCGAUUUUGGAGUAAGCGACAUGAACCACCCUUAGCCACCCCAAAAGUGGGUCUUCAUCCCCAAAAAGUCUUGCUUUUAGUCUGGUGGGAUUGGAAAGGAAUUUUGUACUAUGAGCUUCUCCCAAGUAACCAGACAAUUAAUUCUGAGAAAUACUGCACACGGCUGAACGAGUUAAAAGCAGCAAUUCAAGAGAAACGUCCAGAAUUGGCCAACAGGAAGGGUGUUGUUUUCCAACAUGAUAAUGCAAGACCGCACGUUUCGGGAACCAGACAAAAAUUGCUGCAGCUCGGCUGGGAUGUGCUACCCCACCCUCCAUAUUCACCAGAUAUUGCUCCUUCGGAUUUCCACUUAUCCAGGUCUCUGCAAAAUAGUCUUAAUGGUAAAAAUUUCAAUUCCUUGAAUGACGUAAAAAGAUACGUUGAUGAAUUCUUUGCCAUGAAACCACCUCAAUUCUGGGAAGAGGGUAUUUUCAAGUUAAAGGAUCAUCAUCAUCAUCAUUAUUGUUAUUAUUUGAUGAGCUGGCAGAAUUGUUUGAACUCAGGACAAAAUGCUUAGCGGCAUUUCGUCCGUACUCGCGGUUUGAGUUCAAAUGCCGCCGGUGUCGACUUUGCCUUUCAUCCUAUCGGAGUCGAUGUAAUCGAUUUGUUCCCUCUCCUAAAAUUUCAGGCCCUUGUGCUUAUAGUAGAAAGGACUACUACUACUACUACUACUACUACUACUACUACUGCCGCCGCCGCCACCACCAUCAUCCUCAUCAUCAUCAUUAUUGUAGGUCAAGUUUGUCUUUUAUCUUUUCGGAUGUCGAUAAAAUAAGUACCAGUUGAGUACUGGGGUAGAUGUAGUCGACUACUCCCACCUCCCCCAAAUAUUCAGGCCUUGUGCCUACAGCAGAAAGGAUUAUUAUCAUCAUUAUUAUUAUUAUUACUAUUAUCAUUAUUAUUAUUAUUAUUAUUAUUAUUAUUAUUAUUAUUAUUAUUAUUAUUAUUAUUAUCAUUAUUAUUAUUAUUAUCAUCAUCAUCCUCAUCAUCCUGAUCAUGAUCAUCAUCAUCACUAUCAUCUUCAUCAUCAUCACCACCACCACCACCACCACCACCAUCAUCAUCAUCAUCAUCAUCAUUAUUAUUGUUAUUAUUAUAAUUAUUAUUAUUAUUAUUGAGUGAGAGAGCAGUUCAUGCCAUCAAAGUGACACUGGGGUAAAAUAUACGAAGCCCAAUAUACCCAUCAUGACUACCCGUCUGAUAAAGGUACACCAGGCACAUGCAUCACAACCAUAUGUGCGCGACAUGGUGAUCUCAUAUCAAGAUAAACAGCACAUGACCUUGCAGGUGGGGCCCAGUUAGAAUUUUCUUCAGGUUGAGUAGCCCAUCCCGCUCAAAAGGUCCCUGAUUAAGGGUUGUUUAAGGAUGUUGAAAGAACCACCCAUGUUUCCAGAGGUGAAUUAUUCAAACCCCAAAGAAUCCCUCUCAACACAUGGCUAUGAUGCUCCCCCACUACUUCUGCUCGUGAUCAGAGAUGCACAUAUCGUCAGCCACUAAGGGACAUGCUCAACUGGUUAAGGUCAAACAACUGACAAGCAAAUCUGUGGUAUUGAGCAGAAUAUUUGCUGUAGCCCAUCUUUUAUACCAAGACAAUAAUAAUAAUAAUAAUUAUUAUUAUUAUUAUUACUAUUAUUAUUAUUAUAAUCAUUAGUAUUAUUGUUAUUAUUAUUAUUAUUAUUAUUAUCACUAUCAUUAUUAUUAUUAUUAUUAUUAUUAUUAUUAUUAUUAUUAUUAUUAUCAUAAUUAUUAUCAUUAUUUUUUUUUUUUUUUUCUUCUUUCAAAUUUGCUUCCAUUUCUUGCCGAUAUUAUUAUUAUUAUUAUUAUUAUUAUUAUUAUUAUUAUUAUUAUUAUUAUUAUUAUUAUUAUUAUUAUUUGCUGGCUGCAUCGUUAACGCGUCGGAUGAAGUAAUUCUCAGCUGCAUUCCUUCCGUAUUUACGUUCUAGGUUCAAAUUCCGCCGAGCUAGACUUUACCUAUCGUCCUUUCGGGGUCGAUAAAAAUACUCACCAAUAAAACAACUGUAGUCAACGUAACCCACUUACCCCAUGCCCGAAAUUGCUGGCCUUGUACCAAAAUUCAAAAAUAUCAUCUUAAGAAUAUCUUUGAUUAAAAUCAAGCUAUGGUUUGCAAAGAGACACAUUACGUUACCCGGCCAUUUGCAAAAUCACCAAAAUCGAAGCAAGCUCUGACAUAAUGGCUGCAGAUCAAAGCUUAUAUUGAUGUCUCUUGCAAGUUAUCUUUUUGAACAUUUAUUCAGCGUGCUUCUCUUCCUGACUGAUGGCCUUCACAACGAUUAAAGAGCAGAAGUGUUGCCAACCAUUCCAGUGGUUUUACACUACACUCAUUCUGCAUCGCGAAUGCUUUUUUUUUACUCUUUUACUCUUCUACUUGUUUCAGUCAAUUGACUGCGGCCAUGCUGGAGCACCGCUUUUUCGUCGAGCAAAUUGACCCCAAAACUUAUUCUUUGUAAGCCCAGAAAUUAUUCUAUCGGUCUCUUUUGCUGAACCGCUAGGUUAUGGGAAUGUGAACACACCAGCAUCGGUUGUCAAGCGAUGUUGGAGAAGCCACACACACACACACACACACACAUAUAUAUAUAUAUAUAUAUAUAUAUAUAUAUAUAUAUAUAUAUAUAUAUACGACGGGCUUCUUUCAAUUUCCGUCUACCAAAUCCACUCACAAGGCUUUGGUCGACCCAAGGCUAUAGUAGAAGACACUCGCCCAAAGUGCCACGCAGUGGGACUGAACCCAGAAACAUGUGGUUGGCAAGCAAGCUACUUACCAAACAGCCACUCCAACUCCUGUUUUUUUGUUUUUUUGUACUGUUUUCUUAUACUGUUACUAGAUAAGCGUUGACCAGAUGCUGAAGAAAGGCUGGUCAACCAUCCUUAGAGAGGUUUUAAUAUAAGUAGUGCUGAUACUCAACACAAAGAUGUACGUGUGUAUGUAUGUAUCUAUGUUGUACGCAUGCAUGUAUGUAUGUAUGUAUGUAUGUAUAUAUGUUCGUAUGGAUUGAUGGACAGAUGGAUGGAUCCUCUGUAUUUAAUGAUUGAAAUUCUUCUUGAAAAAUUCUUGGUUUCUAACAAAGAUACAAAGCUCCAUCUUUGGAAUGUAGAUAACGAAAACAAUGUCACGUUUUAAACCUGAGAAAAGUCUUGCAUAAUUUUACCAUUUUGCUUACAGAUUGUAUUUGUAAUAUGCAAAUCAGUUGGUUCAUUCCUUUUUGUGAAAAUCCAAGCUCAUCCAGAAUGACAGUUAGGCAUUUACUUACAAAAACCAAGUGCUCCAGUAUGUAUGUUUGUAUUGGGUUGUCCGGAAAGUUCAUAUUUUUGUAUGUAUGUAUGUGCAGAUUUGUAUGUUUUGCUUUAUGUAUGUCUUCUCAUGCAUAUAGUUGCAUAUCUAGACAUGCUCAUAUAUACUUAAAUGAUAAGCUGGAAAGUUUUAGAGUUUUACAGAUCCACUAAUGGAUCGCAUCAGAAGUCUUCGAAUCAGCUUACUCAUUUCUGGUUUUGAGAAGCCUAAUUUUUCAAGAUUGGUAUUUAGGCAGUUUGUUACACAUCCCAGUGUCCCGACAAUUACAGGUAUAAACCUGAACUAGUAAUCUAGAUAGAGUUACU
rnacentral:lncRNA from 1 species